AUGGAGAAGAAACAUAUGAAGAUGGCCAUCCUGAGGCAAGAGCAGACAUUCAGACAACAGGUUCACGAGCUGCAUCGCGUAUACGAGGUUCAGAAGCGGCUGAUGAAGGAGAUGCAGGCUGUUAAGAUGAGCCCAGCUCAGGCAAGAGAGGAUACUCGACCAGAACCGAUGCUGGAUACAGAUCGACCACAAUGGCACAUCAACUCAGGCGAGAAGACCGCUCGUUUCACCGAGGACUUCAACCUGGAGCUGACACUAGCAACUGGGGGUGAUACAAGGAAGCAGGAGAUGACAUCCAACUCCGAGUCUGGAGCAACGGUGACAUCGUCGACUUCUGCUGAAUCAGAGUCGGGGCAGCGAUUCCCCAAGUCCAAUGUAGACCUGAGGUUUCAACAUGAGAGCAAGAGGCAUGAUGAUCAGCUCACGCAGUCUCCCUGGCUCUACCAAUGUUUAAGUCUCAAGAUGGCUUAA
rnacentral:rRNA from 1 species